AUCUGGAAGUGUAAGUUGUGCGCAGCUUCUUUCACCUCCAGAAUACAGUUAUUUAGACACUAGGCUGCAGCACAGCCACUAUUCCAGAAUCAGCCCUCUUCCAUGCCUCUACACUAAUUGCAUUUGCACAUUUCAGAUGAGACAGGCUGGAUGUCAGGAGGUCACUGUUAAUGCUGGAAAAAGAAGUAGAAGAAAUCAUGAAAAUGAAUCUUCACAUUCCAACAUUAAAAGACCCAGGCGGGCAGAAGUCAACUUCCUACCCAACUUUCCCCAAGGAAAGGAUCCUUCAAGCCUUGAGCAGUUGAGGCAGACAAUUGUUGAAGAAGUCAAGAAGACUGAGAAGAACCCUGCCCUUCAUUAGAAAGAUGAUGGAGACCACAUUUCCCCUACGCCGACAGACCAUAGUGAUGUCCUGCCCACCAGUGAACGAGCUCAUGGACCUCUGGCCUGCUCUCAAAAUAGAGUCUGAGUUGUAUGCAGAGUUCCAGCGGAUUACGAAUCAGAACCUGCCCAACACAUUCUAUUUCUGAGCUUGAUCGUCAUCUUCCUCAACUGAUGACCUUAUUCAGACAGAAGGCCUCAAAACUGGGAAGACAGCAGAUGCUCUGGCUGAAAUUUUAAAAAUCCACGAUGAACAGGAAAUCCAUGACAUCCACACCAAGCGCACUACUGUUCUCCACGCCCUUCCUGUGUAUCUGCACGAGGACGUUUCUGGAUUUUUCAGAACCUGCACAAUGAGUCUCCUUAAGUCACUAACAGAUUCUACUGUGUAUUAUGUAAACAGUUCAUCAAAAUACUAAUAUCUUUUAGGACUUACCUUUGUUUAGUCUACCCAUACAGUUUAUGUAUGGUCUGUUUUAUUUCUCCUCACUACAAAGGAACUGUAUUGGCAAAUGAUAAGAUGUUCAUUAAAACAUUUUCCUGUAAAUGUCCUUUAGCGUGGUUUCAGUCUAUCUCACACCACUUAGAUUCUCUGAUUCGUGUGUGCAGAACAUGGAUCUUAUGUUUUUCACCUCUUACAAUGAGACCCAGGUCGCCCUUGUAAAAGAGGUAUUGGUUUUCAAUUGGACUUGGUUAAAGAAAGAUACAUUAUAUGUCAUCUGUUCUGUUCCAUGUGUUAGUUUGUGAUUAGUAUCUCUUUUUCAUUCAUUCAGGACGAGUCUGAUGAGCCAGAGCUUGAUGGUGUUGCAGUGGGCCUCCUUACUGUCAUCAGUGACCAUGACCCUGUGAGAAUCUCUGUCGUCAUUGACACUGUCAGGUUUACUACCAC